rnacentral:rRNA from 1 species
AACGAACGCUGGCGGCAUGCCUAACACAUGCGAGUCGAACGAGACCUUCGGGUCUAGUGGCGCACGGGUGCGUAACGCGUGGGAACCUGCCCUUAGGUUCGGAAUAACUCCCCGAAAGGGGUGCUAAUACCGGAUAAUGUCUUCGGACCAAAGAUUUAUCGCCUUUGGAUGGGCCCGCGUUGGAUUAGCUAGUUGGUAGGGUAAAAGCCUACCAAGGCGACGAUCCAUAGCUGGUCUGAGAGGAUGAUCAGCCACACUGGGACUGAGACACGGCCCAGACUCCUACGGGAGGCAGCAGUGGGGAAUAUUGGACAAUGGGCGAAAGCCUGAUCCAGCAAUGCCGCGUGAGUGAUGAAGGCCUUAGGGUUGUAAAGCUCUGUUACCCGGGAUGAUAAUGACAGUACCGGGAGAAUAAGCGCCGGCUAACUCCGUG